AUUGAACGCUGGCGGCAUGCCUUACACAUGCAAGUCGAUCGGUAACGCGGGGGCAACCCUGGCGACGAGAGGCGGACGGGUGAGGAACGCUUGGGAAUCUGCCUAUCAGCGGGGGACAACACGGGGAAACUCGUGCUAAUACCGCAUACGCUCUACGGAGGAAAGCCGGGGACCGCAAGGCCUGGCACUGAUAGAUGAGCCCAAGCCGGAUUAGCUAGUUGGCGGGGUAACGGCCCACCAAGGCGACGAUCCGUAGCUGGUCUGAGAGGACGAUCAGCCACACUGGGACUGAGACACGGCCCAGACUCCUACGGGAGGCAGCAGUGGGGAAUAUUGGACAAUGGGGGAAACCCUGAUCCAGCGACGCCGCGUGGGUGAAGAAGGCCUGCGGGUUGUAAAGCCCUUUCGGUAGGGACGAAAGCUCUCGACCUAACACGUCGGGAGGUUGACUUAACCUACAAAAGAAGCACCGGCUAACUCUGUGCCAGCAGCCGCAGUAACAC
rnacentral:rRNA from 1 species